rnacentral:rRNA from 1 species
UACGAAGGGGGGCUAGCGUUGCUCGGAAUCACUGGGCGUAAAGGGUGCGUAGGCGGGUCUUUUAAGUCAGGGGUGAAAUCCUGGAGCUCAACUCCAGAACUGCCUUUGAUACUGAGGAUCUUGAGUUCGGGAGAGGUGAGUGGAACUGCGAGUGUAGAGGUGAAAUUCGUAGAUAUUCGCAAGAACACCAGUGGCGAAGGCGGCUCACUGGCCCGAUACUGACGCUGAGGC